GAUGAAGAACGCAGCGAAAUGCGAUAAGUAAUGUGAAUUGCAGAAUUCAGUGAAUCAUCGAAUCUUUGAACGCAUCUUGCGCUCCUUGGUAUUCUGAGGAGCAUGCCUGUUUGAGUGUCAUUUCAACCCUCAAGCCCAGCUUGGUGUUGGGGAUCGGCACAGGCGCCCUCGGGCGCCCGCCGUCCCCUAAAUCUAGUGGCGGUCCCGCUGCAGCCUCCUCUGCGUAGUAGUUUUCUCCUCGCAAGGGCAGCUCGGUGGCGACCUCGCCGUAAAACCCCCAACUUCUGAAAGGUUGACCUCGAAUCAGGUAGGAAUACCCGCUGAACUUAAGCAUAUCAAUAAGCGGAGGA
rnacentral:misc_RNA from 1 species